GACGAACGCUGGCGGCGUGCCUAAUACAUGCAAGUAGAACGCUGAAGGAGGAGCUUGCUUCUCUGGAUGAGUUGCGAACGGGUGAGUAACGCGUAGGUAACCUGCCUGGUAGCGGGGGAUAACUAUUGGAAACGAUAGCUAAUACCGCAUAAGAGUAGAUGUUGCAUGACAUUUGCUUAAAAGGUGCAAUUGCAUCACUACCAGAUGGACCUGCGUUGUAUUAGCUAGUUGGUGGGGUAACGGCUCACCAAGGCGACGAUACAUAGCCGACCUGAGAGGGUGAUCGGCCACACUGGGACUGAGACACGGCCCAGACUCCUACGGGAGGCAGCAGUAGGGAAUCUUCGGCAAUGGACGGAAGUCUGACCGAGCAACGCCGCGUGAGUGAAGAAGGUUUUCGGAUCGUAAAGCUCUGUUGUAAGAGAAGAACGAGUGUGAGAGUGGAAAGUUCCCACUGUGACGGUAUCUUACCAGAAAGGGACGGCUAACUACGUGCCAGCAGCCGCGGUAAUACGUAGGUCCCGAGCGUUGUCCGGAUUUAUUGCGCGUAAAGCGAGCGCAGGCGGUUAGAUAAGUCUGAAGUUAAAGGCUGUGGCUUAACCAUAGUACGCUUUGGAAACUGUUUAACUUGAGUGCAAGAGGGGAGAGUGGAAUUCCAUGUGUAGCGGUGAAAUGCGUAGAUAUAUGGAGGAACACCGGUGGCGAAAGCGGCUCUCUGGCUUGUAACUGACGCUGAGGCUCGAAAGCGUGGGGAGCAAACAGG
rnacentral:rRNA from 1 species